rnacentral:rRNA from 1 species
CCUACGGGACGCAGCAGUGGGGAAUAUUGCACAAUGGGCGCAAGCCUGAUGCAGCCAUGCCGCGUGUGUGAAGAAGGCCUUCGGGUUGUAAAGCACUUUCAGCGGGGAGGAAGGCGGUGAAGUUAAUAAUCUCAUCGAUUGACGUUACCCGCAGAAGAAGCACCGGCUAACUCCGUGCCAGCAGCCGCGGUAAUACGGAGGGUGCAAGCGUUAAUCGGAAUUACUGGGUGUAAAGCGCACGCAGGCGGUCUGUCAAGUCGGAUGUGAAACCCCCGGGCUCACCCUGGGAACUGCAUUCGGAACUGGCAGGCUAGAGUCUUGUAGAGGGGGGUAGAAUUCCAGGUGUAGCGGUGAAAUGCGUAGAGAUCUGGAGGAAUACCGGUGGCGAAGGCGGCCCCCUGGACAAAGACUGACGCUCAGGUGCGAAAGCGUGGGGAGCAAACAGGAUUAGAUACCCUUGUAGUC